UCUUUCUUGGAUGUACAGGGUUAUAGGUUUGGCUAUUUUAGUUGCCUUCCUGUACGAGUUUCUGGAGUCUUUCUGUGCUCCAAAAAUUGUUGCCAUUUUGCCAUCUUUUCCUGGGUACCUAAAGCAUUGGUGGUAAGAUAACGGUAUUGCCUUGAAACCGCGAAUGCUUAGUCUGCCCAAGAUCCCAUUGAACGGAGAGUCUAUAUUGACCACGAUGAAGUGUGCCGUGCGUGAUACUCUUCCGUUUCUUUUUUCAAGGGAUAUCUGUAGAUCGAUGGCUCCUACUACUGGGGCCUUUGUGUUUGUGAACCCCUAAAUGGCUUCCUUGGCCGGGGUUAGCUGAUCCACUUUGUAGCCCAUUUUUUUCGAACGCAGCUAGGUAUAGUAUAUCUACUGAGCUGCCAUUGUCCACCAUUACUUUGUUCAGACUUAAAUCAUCCCUGAUAUCCACUUGUAUUAC
rnacentral:lncRNA from 1 species